rnacentral:rRNA from 1 species
UACAGAGGUCUCAAGCGUUUGUUCGGAUUCAUUGGGCGUAAAGGGUGCGUAGGCGGCGCGGUAAGUCGGGUGUGAAAUCUUGGAGCUUAACUCCGAAACUGCAUUCGAUACUGCGGUGCUUUGAGGACUGGGAGAGGAGACUGGAAUUUAUGGUGUAGCAGUGAAAAUGCGUAGAGAUCGUAAGGAAGACCAGUGGCGAAGGCGGGUCUCUGGACAGUUCCUGACACUGAGGCACGAAGGCCCAGGGGGAGCAAAACGGG